AGUGAACGCUGGCGGUAGGCCUAACACAUGCAAGUCGAACGGCAGCACAGUAAGAGCUUGCUCUUACGGGUGGCGAGUGGCGGACGGGUGAGGAAUACAUCGGAAUCUACUUUUUCGUGGGGGAUAACGUAGGGAAACUUACGCUAAUACCGCAUACGACCUACGGGUGAAAGCAGGGGAUCUUCGGACCUUGCGCGAUUGAAUGAGCCGAUGUCGGAUUAGCUAGUUGGCGGGGUAAAGGCCCACCAAGGCGACGAUCCGUAGCUGGUCUGAGAGGAUGAUCAGCCACACUGGAACUGAGACACGGUCCAGACUCCUACGGGAGGCGGCAGUGGGGAAUAUUGGACAAUGGGCGCAAGCCUGAUCCAGCCAUACCGCGUGAGUGAAGAAGGCCUUCGGGUUGUAAAGCCCUUUUGUUGGGAAAGAAAAGCAGCGGGUUAAUACCCCGCUGUUCUGACGGUACCCAAAGAAUAAGCACCGGCUAACUUCGUG
rnacentral:rRNA from 1 species